rnacentral:rRNA from 1 species
AUGAACGCUAGCGACAGGCCUAACACAUGCAAGUCGAGGGGCAGCGAAGAGGUAGCAAUACCUUUGUCGGCGACCGGCGCACGGGUGAGUAACACGUAUGCAAUCCACCUGUAACAGGGGGAUAACCCGGAGAAAUCCGGACUAAUACCCCAUAAUAUGGGCGCUCCGCAUGGAGAGCCCAUUAAAGAGAGCAAUUUUGGUUACAGACGAGCAUGCGCUCCAUUAGCCAGUUGGCGGGGUAACGGCCCACCAAAGCGACGAUGGAUAGGGGUUCUGAGAGGAAGGUCCCCCACAUUGGAACUGAGACACGGUCCAAACUCCUACGGGAGGCAGCAGUGAGGAAUAUUGGUCAAUGGUCGGCAGACUGAACCAGCCAAGUCGCGUGAGGGAAGACGGCCCUACGGGUUGUAAACCUCUUUUGUCGGAGAGUAAAGUACGCUACGUGUAGUGUAUUGCAAGUAUCCGAAGAAAAAGCAUCGGCUAACUCCGUGCCAGCAGCCGCGGUAAUACGGAGGAUGCAAGCGUUAUCCGGAUUUAUUGGGUUUAAAGGGUGCGUAGGCGGCACGCCAAGUCAGCGGUGAAAUUUCCGGGCUCAACCCGGAGUGUGCCGUUGAAACUGGCGAGCUAGAGUACACAAGAGGCAGGCGGAAUGCGUGGUGUAGCGGUGAAAUGCAUAGAUAUCACGCAGAACCCCGAUUGCGAAGGCAGCCUGCUAGGGUGAAACAGACGCUGAGGCACGAAAGCGUGGGUAUCGAACAGGAUUAGAUACCCUGGUAGUCCACGCAGUAAACGAUGAAUACUAACUGUUUGCGAUACAAUGUAAGCGGUACAGCGAAAGCGUUAAGUAUUCCACCUGGGGAGUACGCCGGCAACGGUGAAACUCAAAGGAAUUGACGGGGGCCCGCACAAGCGGAGGAACAUGUGGUUUAAUUCGAUGAUACGCGAGGAACCUUACCCGGGCUUGAAAGUUAGCGACGGAUCUGGAAACAGGUCUUCCCUUCGGGGCGCGAAACUAGGUGCUGCAUGGUUGUCGUCAGCUCGUGCCGUGAGGUGUCGGCUUAAGUGCCAUAACGAGCGCAACCCCUAUCGACAGUUACUAACGGGUCAAGCCGAGGACUCUGUCGAGACUGCCGGCGCAAGCCGCGAGGAAGGUGGGGAUGACGUCAAAUCAGCACGGCCCUUACGUCCGGGGCGACACACGUGUUACAAUGGCAGGUACAGAAGGCAGCCAGUCAGCAAUGACGCGCGAAUCCCGAAAACCUGUCUCAGUUCGGAUUGGAGUCUGCAACCCGACUCCAUGAAGCUGGAUUCGCUAGUAAUCGCGCAUCAGCCAUGGCGCGGUGAAUACGUUCCCGGGCCUUGUACACACCGCCCGUCAAGCCAUGGAAGCCGGGAGUACCUGAAGCAUGCAACCGCAAGGAGCGUACGAAGGUAAUACCGGUAACUGGGGCU